rnacentral:rRNA from 1 species
UACGUAGGGGGCGAGCGUUACCCGGAUUUACUGGGCGGAAAGAGCGUGUAGGCGGCUGGCCAAGCGUGAUGUGAAAUCUUCGGGCUUAACCCGAAAACUGCAUUGCGAACUGGUCUGGCUAGAGUGUGUGAGAGGGUAGUGGAAUUCCCGGUGUAGAGGUGAAAUUCGUAGAUAUUGGGAAGAACACCGGUGGCGAAGGCGGCUCUCUGGACCGUAACUGACGCUGAGGCGCGAAAGCGUGGGGAGCAAACGGG